rnacentral:tRNA from 1 species
AUCUCCCGUGCGUCGGCGUUCACGGCGGCGGUUCCGAUCAGCAGCUUGGUCUCGUCGAGCUGGCACAGGCCGGUGCCGGGUCCGGCCAGGUGGUGC